AAAUGCAUCAUCUGUGCAGCCAGUAGUCGCAGUUGAAAGAACCGUCUUCUAUAGAGAAAGAGCUGCAGGAAUGUAUUCAGCUUUGCCUUAUGCAUAUGCGCAGGUCCUGGUUGAGCUUCCAUACGUUUUUUCACAAGUAGUUGUAUAUGGUCUUAUCACAUAUACAAUGAUCGGAUUCGAAUGGACUGCUACUAAGUUCUUUUGGUAUCUGUUCUUCACGUACUUCACAUUACUGUACUACACCUACUACGGAAUGAUGGCUGUUGCUGUGACACCAAACUACCACAUUGCAUCCAUAAUUUCUUCCGUAUUUUAUGGAAUUUGGAACCUCUUUUCAGGAUUCGUCAUCCCUAGAACUAGGAUGCUUGUGUAGUGGAGAUGGUACUACUGGGGAUG
rnacentral:misc_RNA from 1 species